UCGAUGAAGAACGCAGCGAAAUGCGAUAAGUAAUGUGAAUUGCAGAAUUCAGUGAAUCAUCGAAUCUUUGAACGCACAUUGCGCCCUGUGGUAUUCCGCAGGGCAUGCCUGUUCGAGCGUCAUUAUAGCCACUCAAGCCUCGCUUGGUGUUGGGGCUCGCAAUCUUGCGGCCUCUAAAAUCAGUGGCGGUGCCGGUAGGCUCUGAGCGUAGUACAUCUCCUCGCUAUAGAGUCCUGUCGGUCCCCUGCCAAACCCCCAUAUUUUAUAGGUUGACCUCGGAUCAGGUAGGGAUACCCGCUGAACUUAA
rnacentral:rRNA from 1 species